UGGGACUCACCUCCGGGAGACCCCGAGGGGGAGAGGGCGCUUCCUCUGCGUCCAUCGCCCUUGCGGCCCCUGGGUGGAACUGUUUUACAAAUCUGAGGGCCACCAUUCCAGGUAUGGCUAGCCUCCCGUUGGAGAAUUUUUACCAUCUUUCUUCAAUGUAGUUCUUAUUCUUCUGGGCAAACCAAGCCUUUUCGUUUGGAGUGGAGCUUGGGGUCCCCAGGAGGGGAGUCUCCGGGAGGGGGAGGCAUAGCUAAGGGUUCCUCUCUAGAAGGUGGAGUUGUCGUUGCAGCCCAUUUGCCUCUUCGUCUGCCUUUCUGUUUUGUUGCUUUUCGGCGCCUCUUGCAGUGCAUUGCUGCCACCUCUUCUGGGGCCCACACAGCAUUUAACAGCAGUAGAAUUUCUUCCUUAUACUUUGUUUUUUCACUUCCAGCGGUUAAAGGUCUUUUAUUCUUUGUAAACAGCCUCAUGAACAUGCAAAGUGGCAGAAGCAUAUUUGGAAUCUGUGUAAAUACUUGCCUUCUGCUCUUUUCCUAGCCAGAGAGCUCUUGUCAGAGCUAUUAGCUCUGCUUUCUAAGCAGAAGUUUCUGUAGACACAGACGGCACCUCUGCUACUGAGUCCAAAGUCACCGCGGCAUACCCAGCUCGGCAGACUCCCUUUAGUAUGAAACUGCUUCCAUCAGUAAAAUAUUCAAUGUCCAGGUCCCCGAGGGGCUGAUCUGCUAAAUGUUUCCGGCCUGAGAACACUUUAUCUACCACGUCCACACAGCAAUGAAGGGGACUUCCUGUGUAGGGUCCAGCCCUAUGGGGGCUUAGCGGGUGUUCUCCCCGUGUGCAGAGACAAGAGAUUGUAAGAAAUAAAGACACAAGACAAACAGAUAAAGAGAAAACAGCUGGGCCCGGGGGACCACUACCACUAAGACAUGGAGACCGGUAGUGGCUCCGAAUGGCUGGGUGCGCUGGUAUUUAUUGAAUACAAGACAAGGGGGCAGGGUAAGGAGGGUGAGUCGUCCAAGUGAUUGAUAAGGUCAGGCAA
rnacentral:antisense_RNA from 1 species